rnacentral:rRNA from 1 species
AACGAACGCUGGCGGCAGGCUUAACACAUGCAAGUCGAACGCACCGCAAGGUGAGUGGCAGACGGGUGAGUAACACGUGGGGAUCUGCCCAAUGGUACGGAAUAGCUCUGGGAAACUGGAAUUAAUACCGUAUGAGCCCGCAAGGGGAAAGAUUUAUCGCCAUUGGAUGAACCCGCGUCGGAUUAGCUAGUUGGAGUGGUAAAGGCGCACCAAGGCGACGAUCCGUAGCUGGUCUGAGAGGAUGAUCAGCCACACUGGGACUGAGACACGGCCCAGACUCCUACGGGAGGCAGCAGUGGGGAAUAUUGGACAAUGGGCGCAAGCCUGAUCCAGCCAUGCCGCGUGAGUGAUGAAGGCCUUAGGGUUGUAAAGCUCUUUCGCCGACGAAGAUAAUGACGGUAGUCGGAGAAGAAGCCCCGGCUAACUUCGUGCCAGCCGCCGCCGUAAGAC